AAUAAUAUAGAAUUUCAGCAUUGACACACAAAGUCAAGGAGAUGAAAGAAGCGAGCUGGUGCAGAAAUUAACAAAACUAAACUGACCAAAAGUAAGAAUUAGAUCACUAAAAGCAUAAGGCAAACACUAAUUCAAAAAAGAGAAUUAUAAUCAUUAAACACUGCCAAAAAAUUCUAAUAUUGAAAAAGCUUAAAACUUUAACAAUUUCCUCAUGAAAUCACCCCCAACCAGUUCAACAAUUACCAAAAUCAUAACGGAGAAUUAGAACAUUAACACUCAACAAAAUAGCAAUAAAGAGAGGGUUAGAGAAAAAAAAACAUCUCAAGAAAAUACUGACCCAUGAAAAAUUAAGCAAUAAUCUAUCGAUUUCAGUAUGUACUCAUGAAUAACUGUAAGACGUGGAGCUAAAAAGUAACAUACCCACAAACCCUAGAAACCUAACUGUGAAUAUGUAUGCGUAUAUAACAGUGUGAUGUAGAGUUCCACAAAUUUACUUACAUGGAUUUUAGCGAGACAGUACUUUAGAGACAGAACAUAACUGAUCAAGAACAGGAUUUGUUGAAGAAUAGAAGACUGCUGUUUGGCUUCGACAUGGAAGCAAAUAGCCAGGAUCACUUGUAUGUAAUAUAGA
rnacentral:lncRNA from 1 species